GACGAACGCUGGCGGCGUGCCUAAUACAUGCAAGUAGAACGCACAGUUUAUACCGUAGCUUGCUACACCAUAGACUGUGAGUUGCGAACGGGUGGGUAACGCGUAGGUAACCUGCCUGGUAGCGGGGGAUAACUAUUGGAAACGAUAGCUAAUACCGCAUAAUAUUAAUUAUUGCAUGAUAAUUAAUUGAAAGGUGCAAUUGCACCACUACCAGAUGGACCUGCGUUGUAUUAGCUAGUAGGUGAGGUAACGGCUCACCUAGGCGACGAUACAUGGCCGACCUGAGAGGGUGAUCGGCCACACUGGGACUGAGACACGGCCCAGACUCCUACGGGAGGCAGCAGUAGGGAAUCUUCGGCAAUGGACGAAAGUCUGACCGAGCAACGCCGCGUGAGUGAAGAAGGUUUUCGGAUCGUAAAGCUCUGUUGUAAGAAAAGAACGGGUGUGAGAGUGGAAAGUUCACACUGUGACGGUAUCUUACCAGAAAGGGACGGCUAACUACGUG
rnacentral:rRNA from 1 species